rnacentral:rRNA from 1 species
CCUACGGGGGGCAGCAGUGGGGAAUAUUGGACAAUGGGGGGAACCCUGAUCCAGCCAUGCCGCGUGUGUGAAGAUGGCCCUCGGGUUGUAAAGCACUUUCAGUGAGGAAGAACGCCUGGUGGUUAAUACCCAUCAGGAAAGACAUCACUCACAGAAGAAGCACCGGCUAACUCCGUGCCAGCAGCCGCGGUAAUACGGAGGGUGCGAGCGUUAAUCGGAAUUACUGGGCGUAAAGCGCGCGUAGGUGGCUUGAUAAGCCGGUUGUGAAAGCCCCGGGCUCAACCUGGGAACGGCAUCCGGAACUGUCAAGCUAGAGUGCAGGAGAGGAAGGUAGAAUUCCCGGUGUAGCGGUGAAAUGCGUAGAGAUCGGGAGGAAUACCAGUGGCGAAGGCGGCCUUCUGGACUGACACUGACACUGAGGUGCGAAAGCGUGGGUAGCAAACAGGAUUAGAUACCCCAGUAGUC